rnacentral:rRNA from 1 species
AUUGAACGCUGGCGGCAGGCCUAACACAUGCAAGUCGGGCGAGUGGCGGACGGGUGAGUAAUGUCUGGGGAUCUGCCCGAUAGAGGGGGAUAACUACUGGAAACGGUAGCUAAUACCGCAUACUAUCGGAUGUACCCAUAUGGGAUUAGCUAGUAGGUGGGGUAAAGGCUCACCUAGGCGACGAUCCCUAGCUGGUCUGAGAGGAUGACCAGCCACACUGGGACUGAGACACGGUCCAGACUCCUACGGGAGGCAGCAGUGGGGAAUAUUGCACAAUGGGCGCAAGCCUGAUGCAGCCAUGCCGCGUGUAUGAAGAAGGCCUUAGGGUUGUAAAGUACUUUCAGCGGGGAGGCGUUACCCGCAGAAGAAGCACCGGCUAACUCCGUGCCAGCAGCCGCGGUAAUAC